rnacentral:lncRNA from 1 species
AAUAAAACAAGAAAAAAAAAACAUAGGAAAAAGAAAAAAAACAUCGGAGAGUGGAAGAAUGCAACCGCAGACGUGGGCCCGGUGGGGCAGCAGUCUGCUCAGCGCCCGGUAGGUAAACGGUGCUGGGACCAUUCCCCGGCACCGGGCGCCUUGGGGGGCAGCAGAGCCCCACAGCGCGGAGCAGGGCUGCCCCAUCUCGGCGCAGGACGAGGCACGCGUUGCUCCGGAGCUGUGAUUCGAGCGCCGGAACGCGUCGUGGUGUUUUCCUGUUGGAGCAGGACGGGUGCGGGGCUGGGAUGUGCCGAGCCGGUGGCGCCCGGAUGGGAGCAAAGGUCGGAGCUGGUGCCCGUGGUGACUCCCUGGAGCUGUUUGUUCCAAGCCUGGCUCUCGGUUAGGGGUGGAAGGAGACAUAAAUCAUACAGAAAGCGCCCGAGUGAUGGCUGCUGGGCUGCUUUCUUCACGCGCACCGUGAGCGGCCCGGGGAGAACCUCGAGGCUGUGGUUGGAAGCAGCAGAGUUGGAAACCUUCCUGGGCUGCCCCGGGGUUGCAGGAGAGGAGCAGAACCGCUGCCUGGCUUCCUCUGCCCCCAGCCCCUUCCCCUUCCUUCCCCCUUCCCUUCCAUUUCCUUUCCCCUUUUCCUACCCGUUCCCUUUCCUCUUCCUUUCCUCUUCCAUUUCCUUUCCCCUUCUCUUUCUCUUUCCCCUUCUCUUUUUCCUUCCCUCUCUCCUUCCCUUCCCCUUUCCUUCUCUUUCUCAUCCCUUCCCUCUUUCUUUCCCUUUCCCCUUCUCUUUCCCCUUCCCCUCCCUUUUUUUCCCUCUUUCCCCUUCUCUUUCCCCUCCACUUCUCUUUCCUUCCUUUCUCCCUUUCCUUCCUUUUCCCCUUCCCUUUCCCUUUUCCAUCUCUUUCCCCUUCCUUCUUUCCUUCUCUUUCCCCUUCUCCUUCUCUUUCCCUUUCUCUUUCCCCUUCCCUCGUUCCUUCUCUUUCCCUUUUCCCUAUUUCCUUCCCUUUUCCCUAUUUCUUUCCCUUUCCCCUUCCUUCUUCCCUUCCUUUUCCCUUUCCCUCCUCUUCCCUUCCCCCUUCCAUUCACUCUGCUCUCCCCCAAUGCAGGAUUAG